rnacentral:rRNA from 1 species
UACGAAUGGGGCUAGCGUUGCUCGGAAUCACUGGGCGUAAAGGGCGCGUAGGCGGCGUUUUAAGUCGGGGGUGAAAGCCUGUGGCUCAACCACAGAAUGGCCUUCGAUACUGGGACGCUUGAGUAUGGUAGAGGUUGGUGGAACUGCGAGUGUAGAGGUGAAAUUCGUAGAUAUUCGCAAGAACACCGGUGGCGAAGGCGGCCAACUGGACCAUUACUGACGCUGAGGCGCGAAAGCGUGGGGAGCAAACAGG